ensembl:snRNA U6 U6 spliceosomal RNA
GUAUUAUGCAAUGCACAUACUAAAAUUCGAACGAAACAGAAAAUUGGCAUAGUCUCUGUGCAAGAAUGACACACGCGUUCGUAAAGUAUCCUCUUU